rnacentral:lncRNA from 1 species
ACAAUUCUAGCAUGAAUAAUAAACAUUUAUCAUGAUAUAAGGAAAUAAAUAAUAACUUUAUUAUUGCCUCUAGGGCAUAUUUCCUUCAACAGGUAGUGUUUGUUCAAAUUUUUGAAUGUCUGUUUCUUAAAUGCAUAAAACCUACAUUAACCUGGAGAUUCUUUCACAACUACAUCCACAAGAAUAGUGUUCGGGUUUUUAGGUAAUAAAGUGUUGAGCAUUAACAUAGAUACAAAAGCUCAUAAGAUCAGAACUUCACAUAGUACAUGAAGUUUUCUGAGAGAGUCAUGCAUAGCAGAGAGGGUUGACAAUUUUCUGAACAUGUCCUGGGGAAAGACAGAUUUAGGAUUUUAGGGCAACGUGGUUGUUGAUCUGAACCUCAACAGGGCAUCUAAUGAAAGAAGCAUACCUGAUGACUCCUUGCUUCCACUUGAAGAUUCAGAAUCACUCUUAAAAUCAUGGGUAAGUUUUCCUUCAACAUGCACAUCUUGAUCCACAUGUCUUCAUGAUACCAAUACAGGUUGAGCGGGUUUAACUAGCACCGCAGUAGCUGAU